CAAUAGCGUAUAUUAAAGUUGUUGCAGUUAAAAAGCUCGUAGUUGGAUUUCGGGAUGGCCCGGCCGGUCUGCCGCAAGGUAUGUUACUGGCCGAGCUGUUCUUCUUCGCAAAGACUGUAUGUGCUCUUAACUGAGUGUGCUCAGGAUCUGUGACGUUUACUUUGAAAAAAUUAGAGUGUUCAAAGCAAGCCAGCGCUUGAAUACAUAAGCAUGGAAUAAUGGAAUAGGACUUUGGUUCUAUUUUGUUGGUUUCUGGAACCUUAGUAAUGAUUAAGAGAGACAGUUGGGGGCAUUCGUAUUUCGUUGUCAGAGGUGAAAUUCUUGGAUUUACGAAAGACGAACUACUGCGAAAGCAUUUGCCAAGAAUGUUUUCAUUAA
rnacentral:rRNA from 1 species